rnacentral:rRNA from 1 species
CCCUUAGACGUUCUGGGCCGCACGCGCGCUACACUGACGAAGGCAACGAGCUUUCCUUUACCGAAAGGUACGGGUAAUCUUUUGAAACUUCGUCGUGCUGGGGAUAGAUCCUUGCAGUUUUUGAUCUUAAACGAGGAAUGCCUAGUAAGCGCAAGUCAUCAACUUGCGUUGAUUACGUCCCUGCCCUUUGUACACACCGCCCGUCGCUACUACCGAUUGAAUGGUUUAGUGAGGCCUUCGGAUCCGCGACUCGUUUGUGGAGAAGUUGGACAAACUCAGUCAUUUAGAGGAAGUAAAAGUCGUAACA